CAAUGUUAAAUGCAUCUAUAGCUACACAUAUGUAUAAAUGCUUAUAAUGGAUGAUAUAUAUGCAUGGACCUAGCACCCUAGAUUGAGAGAAAAACAAUAUAACUCUAAGAACAUAUUUAGCAAGAUCGAUUCUAAAGAAUGCAAUUGAAUUAUGUGUUAUCCACAAUCUAAGUUAUAUGAAUUAUAAAAGAUGUUGAUUUGAGUAAAUAUUAUAUGAUGCAGAGAGAAAUCAAAUGGAGAGACAGAUCUGAUUCUGAAGGGAGAGAUUUUGGUAUCUCUAGAAAGGGGGUAGAAUAAGAAUGGUAGAAAA
rnacentral:lncRNA from 1 species